rnacentral:rRNA from 1 species
GAUGAACGCUGGCGGCUUGCCUAAUACAUGGAAGUCGAGCGAACGGACGAGAAGCUUGCUUCUCUGAUGUUAGCGGCGGACGGGUGAGUAACACGUGGAGAACCGAUCUAUAAGACUGGGAUAACUUCGUGAAACCGGAGCUAAUACCGGAUAAUACUUUGAACCGCAGGGUUCAAAAGGCAAAGACAGCCUUGCUGUCACAUAUAUAUGGAUCCGCGCUGCAUUGGCUAGUUGGUAAGGUAACGGCGUACCAAGGCAACGAUGCAUAGCCGACCUGAGAGGGUGAUCGGCCACACUGGAACUGAGACACGGUCCAGACUCCUACGGGAGGCAGCAGUAGGGAAUCUUCCGCAAUGGGCGAAAGCCUGACGGAGCAACGCCGCGUGAGUGAUGAAGGUCUUCGGAUCGUAAAACUCUGUUAUUAGGGAAGAACAUAUGUGUAAGUAACUGUGCACAUCUUGACGGUACCUAAUCAGAAAGCCACGGCUAACUACAUG